UGACAUAUUGAGUUCUGAGUCAUAUCCAGUUUGUGAAUUCUGUCUUCAAGAAAAAAUAACUAAGCUAUCCUUUUAGGACAUGAGAAAAGGGCCACUAAAUUAUUUACCCUGAUAUACACUGAUAUGUUUGGGCCAUUUGAUAUGUAGGUCAGGAGUGGUUAUCGGUACUUCAUCAUCUUUAUCGAUGAUUAUUCACGGUAUGGAUAUAUAUUUCUCAUG
rnacentral:lncRNA from 1 species